GACGUAGGAUGCAAGCGUUGUCCGGAUUUAUUGGGCGUAAAGAGUUCGUAGGUGGUUUGUUAAGUCUGAUGUGAAAGCCCACGGCUCAACCGUGGAGGGUCAUUGGAAACUGGGGGACUUGAGUGCAGGAGAGAAGAGUGGAAUUCCACGUGUAGCGGUGAAAUGCGUAGAGAUGUGGAGGAACACCAGUGGCGAAGGCGACUCUUUGGCCUGUAACUGACGCUGAGGCGCGAAAGCGUGGGGAGCAAACAGG
rnacentral:rRNA from 1 species